rnacentral:rRNA from 1 species
UACGGAGGGUGCAAGCGUUAUCCGGAUUCACUGGGUUUAAAGGGAGCGUAGGUGGGUCUGUAAGUCAGUGGUGAAAUCUCCGGGCUUAACCUGGAAACUGCCAUUGAUACUAUAGGUCUUGAAUAUUGUGGAGGUUAGCGGAAUAUGUCAUGUAGCGGUGAAAUGCUUAGAUAUGACAUAGAACACCAAUUGCGAAGGCAGCUGGCUAAACAAAUAUUGACACUGAUGCACGAAAGCGUGGGGAUCAAACAGG